rnacentral:rRNA from 1 species
AUUGAACGCUGGCGGCAGGCUUAACACAUGCAAGUCGAGCGGGGUGAUGGUGCUUGCACUAUCACUUAGCGGCGGACGGGUGAGUAAUGCUUAGGAAUCUGCUAUUAGUGGGGGACAACAUCUCGAAAGGGAUGCUAAUACCGCAUACGUCCUACGGGAGAAAGCAGGGGAUCACUUGUGACCUUGCGCUAAUAGAUGAGCCUAAGUCGGAUUAGCUAGUUGGUGGGGUAAAGGCCUACCAAGGCGACGAUCUGUAGCGGGUCUGAGAGGAUGAUCCGCCACACUGGGACUGAGACACGGCCCAGACUCCUACGGGAGGCAGCAGUGGGAAUAUUGGACAAUGGGGGGAACCCUGAUCCAGCCAUGCCGCGUGUGUGAAGAAGGCCUUAUGGUUGUAAAGCACUUUAAGCGAGGAGGAGGCUCUUUUGGUUAAUACCCAAGAUGAGUGGACAUUACUCGCAGAAUAAGCACCGGCUAACUUCGUGCCAGCAGCCGCAGUAA